UUUUUUUUUUCUGGUGAGAAAUUAGAAAACUGACUACGUGAUCUCGGCGCUAUGAAAUACACGUGGCUUUGUAUUAUUGGAUUAGAAAACAGGUGACCUUGGAAAUAGAAACUUUUCACGUGUAUGUUGCUGAUUUGGGCAAGAGUAACGAAGGCGCGAAGUCGGUAACGUGGCGGACUUGCGGGUCAUUAAUACCAUGAUUUUUUAAGGGAAAAUAUAUGAAUUGCCCUUUUAUAUGUUCUUGAAUUACUGAUAUUGCCAUCUUCUUUGUAUUCUUUGGUCAUGAUUCAUUGACUCAUGAGUCAAAAUUAAAUCAUUAAAUGGAGAUUAUUAUAUUUUGCAAAAUAAUAUGGAUAUUCAGCUACUGUAGUUGUAGUUUUUAAUUAAUUCAAGUCAAAGGAGAAUCUAAUUAAGAAAAAAAUAUGUGAAUCUAAUUGAUUAGUUGACUUGAUGAGAUGAGAUUAGAGAUGUGAUUAGCAAUGUAGACCAACUGAUUAAAAAUUAAUCUACACAUGCAUGCAAAAUCUGUUGCAAACCAAAGCAAUGGUUGUAAUCUGUUUUGGUUGGGCAAAUGGUAGACAUACUUGUAUGAAAUUUCUUUUAUUUUUUAGCACUUUUCAGAUUAUUCACGUGAAUACCUGAUGUUGAUAUUAAUUAUUUUGGAUUUAUUUUCCUAUACGUAUUUAGUGAUUGCCAUCUAUGUUCUAUGCUUCUAAAAAAAAAAAAAAAAAAAAAAAAAUCUAUGUUCUAUGCAUCUACUAUACCAACAAGAACACACGCAGUCUUGUGAGUUGUGACUUUACAAAAUGCCACCAUGCUAAAAGUCUAAAACACAAACAGUACACUACUUUGUUUCAGUCAGGACUCGGGAUAAUGUUGGCUCCUACUGUCCUACAUGCAUCUCAAGGAAUCAAGGAUCACCAGUAGAGCUUUGAUAGAGUUGCGUCGGCAUAAAUUAGCACCUCAGCACAAAUCAAUCUCAAGAGACUUGCAGGCCAGGUUGGCCCAACCCUCAGACCUACAGUAGAAGAGUUUUCGGGGCUAACUUAUUAGGCGUUGGUCCAAGUAGAGUUGAAGCCCAGAGGCAUAUUUUUCCAGGUUUAUGCGAAAACUUUUUUCCAGGGAAGUUUCAUAUUGCCAAUGAUUUUUUCACUCAGAAAUGAAGUACAGUAUGCAUAUUGUUGAAUUUAUAUGUAUAUUAUCUAGAAUUUGGAAGAAAAUAAUAAACCAGGCCAGCAGUAAUUAACAACUGAAUGUUACAUAUAAAUGUCUAAGCAACUAUUAUGGUAGCUACAUAUCAGAAACAGACCAGAGAUAUGCUUCUAUCUCAAUAGCUUGUUUUUCAUUUUUUUUUUUUUUCAAAGUAUUUCUUUUCAGUUCCAUUACUCCUAUCAACUCCAUCCCAAUGCCUCCCUGGCCUUAUACCAUAAGGUAUGGUUUGGCGCCGCUUCUAUUCUUCUUUUAAUCCAACAUAUGAUCAGGAAUUAUCUGAGGAACGUAACUAUAAAUCCAGAUUCUUUCAUCUUUUCGUUAUCACCCAAAUCUUCCAAAAUCAUGUCCAAUGACGCUUGCUUCCUCUUUGCCAAAUGUGCCAUUGGAUCUCCCCACCUAAUUUGCUCCUACAACAUUUUUUCUAGUUCAGGGUCAUCUUUGGUUCGUGCAACUGCCUCUUCUUCUCCAUUUCUAGCUCAUGCUCCUUCGGUUUCUCUCUUUUGAACCAAACCUUUGCUCCAUUCCAACUUUAUUAUUUCCUUCGGUUUUUCAUCAUCCUUGUCUACUUGCAACACGCGUUUACCUUCUUUAUCCCGAUAAACAGGUUCAGCUCCUCUUCCACUUACAGAAGGAUCUAAUCCUUUAUACUGAGCUAACUCUUCUUUCUUCUUUCUCUCAAUCUCAAUUUUGAAUUCCUGCGCAGUUAAUAGCCCAGUUGUUGCCUCUUCUUUUGGUAUGUUCUUCCUUUUCGGUCGUGGGGGAGAAAGGUCAGAAGAUUUCGACAUUGCCACAAGUGACAAACAACUUGAAAAGAAGAGAAACAAGAUGACUGCACAAGGAUAGUUGGUAGAUAUCCAAUAUACAAUAUACACAUAUAUGUAGAGAUUAAAAGAGAUGUAAUCCUAAUUAUUUUAGAAAUCGUUUCUAUUUUGUGUAGUAUAAGAAAACAUUUUAUGUCCGAAACAGAAAUUAUACCAUCCGCCCAACAUGUUCUUUCCAUCCACAUUCCGGCCUCAACCAUAUUUCCAAACCAAAUCAAAAAUUGCAGAGCAGACAAGACAAUGCUACGAUUACUUUCAUAUAUGUUUCUUGUGAUGGUCUGUUGUAGCUUUCACCUUGUUAAUUUUCAUGCUUGAAUUAAUCUUUCUAGAUGCAUUAACCUUAAUUUUAGGAUUGUAAGACUCAUCAUCAUCGAGGAAUAAGGAUUAAUAGCACAGUCAUCAGGGACCGCAUGAAUCGCUGUGUGGUGCUGACAGUGCUGUUCAUAUAUUGGUUCUCAUUUCUUUUAUAUUUCUUGUAAUUCAGAUAUGCUGAAGUUGUUAUUUAAAUCAUUGCCCUGUUUUUACCAAGAAAAAAACAUCAUUGCUUUGUCCUCAAAAGUUAAAUAAACAUAAAAAACAGUAAGACGACGUGCGCAAAAUCCUCAUAAGUAUUUUCAGUUAAUUCUUAUUUAUAAUGAUCAUCAGCAGCUGAAAGAAUUAGUACAUACACAUAUGUAUGAUAAUCCUACAUAAUUAUCAUGACAACCAAUCAAGCUUGAUAUUUGAUCUCAUUACCAAAAGUCAAACUGUUGGUAGCAAGUUCUUUCAAGAAUGCAUUUUCCUUGGUAAAAGGAUUGUUGGGAACCUGAAGUUCUUCAUAGCAAUCAUUCAUUGUAGAAAAUUGGGUGAACACAGCAGCUAAAUUGGAAUCCACAGUACCCUUAUCUUUCUCUUUCAUGGCCUUCAGAAUACUAAACAUGUUAUAAACUGCACCUUCAUAUUCUUGUUUGGUCGAUUCAAGGCACUGCUUCAAUGUACCGGUUGCGGUUGGAAGAAGCUGUUUGAGUGCUGAUAAAGUUCUUGAUGUUUGAAAAAUAGUUGCUCCGAUGUUUGCUUUCAAUGCCUUUUGACAACCUCCAUGUACAUUUUUCAAUAUGGCAUUACAAAUCGAUGGGUAAUCAGUCUUUGUACACAACGUUGCAGCGUUUAUUUGUGCUGCAUGGGCACUUGUGAAGAAAAAUAUAGCUGUUGUUGCCGCGAAUAUUAUAAUCAAGUGUUGAUUGGAAGCCAUGUUUACUGAAUAGGGACUCCUACUCCCCCAAAAGAGAAAAUCUUGAUUGGGAAGAAGAGACCUUCAUUUUUGUGAGGAGAAAGGUUUAGUUUAUAUACAAUAUGAUAGAAUUGAAAUAGAGAUCAACCAUUUUUUU
rnacentral:lncRNA from 1 species